UCACCUGUGGGUGUAGCGGUUAGCACUCAGGACUCUGAAUCCUGCGACCCGAGUUCAAAUCUCGGUGGGAC
rnacentral:ncRNA from 16 species